rnacentral:rRNA from 1 species
CCUACGGGUGGCUGCAGUGGGGAAUAUUGGACAAUGGGCGAAAGCCUGAUCCAGCCAUGCCGCGUGUGUGAAGAAGGCCUUCGGGUUGUAAAGCACUUUCAGUGGGGAAGAAAGCCUUGGGGCUAAUACCCUCGAGGAAGGACAUCACCCACAGAAGAAGCACCGGAUAACUCCGUGCCAGCAGCCGCGGUAAUACGGAGGGUGCGAGCGUUAAUCGGAAUUACUGGGCGUAAAGCGCGCGUAGGCGGUCUGAUAAGCCGGUUGUGAAAGCCCCGGGCUCAACCUGGGAACGGCAUCCGGAACUGUCAGGCUAGAGUGCAGGAGAGGAAGGUAGAAUUCCCGGUGUAGCGGUGAAAUGCGUAGAGAUCGGGAGGAAUACCAGUGGCGAAGGCGGCCUUCUGGACUGACACUGACGCUGAGGUGCGAAAGCGUGGGUAGCAAACAGGAUUAGAUACCCGGGUAGUC